UCGAAAACAUGUCGGGGAAGUAACAUUCUUAGCCACGUGUUGGAAAAAGACAGGCCCAAGUAGCGUGCAAACUGCCACCAUCAUCAAACAAAACAAUGGCAAAAUGCCAUUGAAAAUUGGAAUCACUGUAACACUACCAUUUUUUGUUCUUUAUUAUUAUUAUUAAUUUAAAUAUUGGGUUUGGUAUGGUAAUCAUGAUUUAACAUAUAUUAGUUAAACCUUAAUCAUUUUAUUUUUUCAUAAUCAUGAACUUAAUUGAAUGUUCACAAAGAACAAUCCAACCUUAAUUAUUUUGAUGAGAAAAAAAGGAGGAAAAAACAAAACCUCCCACGGUUUCAAGUGGCAAUGCAAUUAUGAAUUUAAUUGAAUAGUUCCAACUUACAAAGAAGAAUCUAAUUGGAAGAAGAAAAAAUAAAGCAAAAGAAGAGUUCCAUUUAUUUUUCAAAUCAAAAUUUAUUUUCACUAAUUUUUAUAUUUGUUUUAUGAUCUAUAUUUAAGAUGUUAUUCCUUCAUAUACAGAGACGAAACCAAAAUUUUUCUGGGGCGUUGAGAUUGAGUUAUAUAAAUCUUUUACUAUUUAUUUACUUAAAAUUUUAUAAGACUUCAAGGGCUAAAAACAUAAUUUUUCAUUUUAAGAAGGGCAAAGGCCCCUAUCAACCCCUCUCUUCGCUCCUAUAAUUAUGUCUCUAAGAUGUAAAUUUACAUUCUCUCUAAAAAUACAGUCUACCUUACCAUUACAUUUAACAAUUGUUGGUUAAUAUAUUUGCUUUUUAUACCAUACAAUAUAAUACGGGGGAGAGGCACAUUAGGACCAUGAUCUUUGAGGUGCCUAAGUCUAAUUACGGUAGGAAAUUUUGGCUUUUAAGUUAAUGUUAAUGGUGUGUAUAAUUUGCUACGAUUGAUGGUGUGUGAGUUAUAUAAAAGAGAUAAUGAAUAACAUGUGAACAUCAUAGUUGAACCAAUUUGAUAUUUUAUUUUUAUUCAAUAAAUUGAAUUCGACAAUUUAUUAUUAAUUAUAGCAGAUUUUCUAAUUUUCAAUUUCAAUUAUAUAAUUAAAUUAUUGUAUCAAUUGAUUUUUAAUUCAAUCUAUGGAUCCGUAAGAUUAUUGGACCAAAAUGUUACUCAAAAUUUUCCAUAUAGUAUAGAAGCAUAUUCAAUUUUUUAAAAUUUAUUCUUUAAUUAAAGAAUUUCAAUUAUAUUCAAAUAUAUAUCGACCAAAAUAAAAACUCAAAAAAAUUAAAAACCCCAAAAUUGGCCGACAAAAUCAAUAAAAAGUCCAAACACCAUCAUAUUUGUAGAGAGAAAAGAAAGGGAAAAAUCUUAGGUAAAAAAGUCAAUAAUAGGAAUUUUCUAUAACAAAAUCUCCAAUGGGAACCAACCCCCAAAACUUUUGGUACUACUAAUCUUCCCAUCAUAUCAAUCAAAUAAACAAAAAAAAUAAAAGAAAAAGGAAAAAAAAAUUAAUUCGAAUUUGUAUAAUCCUAAUCAAUGAUUAAUUGACAACCAAGAUUUAUUUAUAUAUACAAAAAAAAAGUCAAUGAGGUUUUAAUUUUAUGAAAAGAUAAGUUUGGGUAUUUUUCAAUUUUCAAUUCUAAAUUUAUAUUGAUUUAAGUUUUGUUAUGUAUUGUAUGGAUUAAUUUUUAUUAUAAUUAUUCAAAUAUAUGUUUUUUUUUGUGUUUUUCGUGUCUAUUUUUACGGUUUAUAUUUGGGGUUUGUGAUCGUUCAUCUUAAUAAUGUUGUUUUCAAUGUGUCUUACCACUACACUUAACAUUUGUUUGUAUAAUUAUUCGAAUAUACUCAUAAUCUAUUAAAACGAAUAGACAUGAUGAUAAAUUUAGUUUUUAAUGUUUAUAUCUUUUAUCGAUUUAGCUUUUUAAAUUAAAUUCAACUAUUAACAUUUUAAAAGAGUCAAAUCGUAUUUUUUUAAAGAAAAUGUUAACUAAAAUAUUAAUAUUUUUAAUGAUGUUGGCGAGACAACUUGUGUGGUAGACCACGUAUACUUCGUACUAAAGGUGCAUUUGUUUCACGGAAAAUGCCAUUGUUUUUUUCAUGGCAAGUGAAAAAUGAUUUACAGGUCAACACAAAAUAAACCAUUUUUCCUUUAAAAUGACUUAUCUUUUUAAAAAACGCAAGUCAUUUUCUAGAAAUGAAGGAGUAAUUUAUUUUAAUAUAAUAAUUAAGUUCAAUCAAGCCUAAUAUUAUUAUAUUAAUAAUAAGUUUUUAAUUUUAAUUUUUUAAAUAUUUAAAAUAUUAAUAGAUAAUAUUAUAAUUUUUAAUAUUAUUAAAUAUAAAUAUUUAAUUAUUUAUAUUAAAUAAUAUAAGAAAAUAUUAAUAUAAUUAAUAUAGUUUAUUACUUUUAAAUUUUAUUAAUAAAUUUAUUAAUAAUCAUUUUAAAUUUUAUAUAAUAUUUUUCAUAUAUUAUUGAAAAGUAUUUAUAUUAAUAUUUUAAUAAUAAAUAUAUUAAUAAUUAAUGUUUUAUACCAUAAAGGUUAAAAUAUGUCAUAAGUCCAUGUACUCUUCACAAAUUUUGAAUUUAGUCCCUAUACUUUUAUUUUUAGGAAUUUAAUCCCUCUACUUUUCAGAUUUCAAAAUUCAGGUCCAAUUGUUAACACUAUUAUUAUUAAAAAAAAUUGGUGUGGCAUUUUUAAAUGAAAAUAAUCUCUUGGUAGCCAUUUAACUAAAAGUUGAAGUUGUAAUGAACUUGAAUUUAACAAAAUAAAUUUAAUAGUGUUAACAAAGGGACCCAAAUUUUUAAAUCUAAAAAGUAUGACUAAAUUCUAAAAAUCAAAAGUAUAGGGACUUAUAAUAUAUAUUUAACCUAGAAUAAAUAGGAAUAUUUAAAAUUAUAUAAAUAUGAACAUUUGUUUAAAUCAUGUUUAGCUUCAUUUAUCCAUUUCAACUCUAAUGUGUCAAUUUGUAUUCUCGUACAUGUAAUAUAUAUUUAAAUUAAAUUUUAAUUAAGUAUUGUUUAUUAUUAAGUUUAUAUGUGAUAUUAAAUAUUACAAAAUAUUAUCUUAUUUAUAUCAUGUUCGUUUCACUAAGAAAAAAAUUACAAAAUGAUUUCAAGAAAAUUUGCCUCACAACGAAAAAUAUUUUACGCAGAAUCAUCCAAACACAAAAAAAAUAUAAGUGUUUCUAGAAAAUCAAUCCUUUUUUCAAAAGUUGUUUUCAGUGAAAUAAUGCAGCCUAAUAUGAUGCUAUUUUUAUAUGUCAUAUCAAUAAAUAAUUUUAAAAUUAUAAAAAUAUUUAUUUUUUAAAAAAUAUAUAUAAAAAUAAAAAAAUUUAGCAUGAAAUACACACGGACUGCCGUGUAGUCUAACAUGUUUAAAAAUUUAAUGUUUUAGUUCAUAUUUAAAAAAAAACAUUUCAAAAUUUUUUAAAAAGUUGAUGGUUAAAUUCAAUUUUUUUAAAAAAUUUUGAAGGCUAAAUUUAAUUAAAUAAUAAAAAUAAAAUUGAAAAAAUUAUGUUAAAUAAAAAAAUAAAAGUAGGGGGCUUUUCAAUUAUAUAGAUUUGCAUGAAAAUUUUGAUAAGAUUUUUCAAUAUAAAAAAUUGAUAUAAUUUAUGGAAUGAUCUUUAUUGGAAAGUUCAUCAGUAAACAAAAGAAGAAACUAGUUGUUGGGUGGUUGCUCUCAAUGCACCUAAAACUGGAGGAGCGCUCAACUAUACUUUUGCUUUGCUAAUUGGCCCAAAUAUCCCCAAAUAUUCAUAAAAUAUCAUGUAUCUAAAUUUUGGUUUAUUUCUAGUUUUAAGCCUUCUAUUAUAUUUAAAUUUAAUUUUUAAUCCUUAUACUUUAAGUUGACACAUUUGGUCUCUUUACUUUUGUAAUGUUAUUAAUAGAUCCAAAUUGAUAACUAGCCGUUGUUAAAUGAUGACGAGUGUUAGAAUCAGAGCCGCAUGGGAAUACAAUUAAUUUUGUUUAUCUAGGAAUAAAUUCAUUUGUGUUUAUUUGAGUCUUAAAAGUCAUAGGGUUUAAACGCACUUACGUGCAUAAUAUCUUUUACUUUAAGAAUUGAGGCACCGUUUUAAAACCAGACUAGUGAUCAAACUAACAAAAUCACCAAUUUAACUUAUUUAAUUGCUGGUCCAAAAAUAAUUAAAUAAACGAUUAAAAACUUUAUAAAUUUUUUAAACAAAUUAUGAACAAGCCCAACCUUCUUUUUUUGUCUCAAUUUUUUUUUAAAUUUUACUAAUUUUGAGCAAUUUGCUUAAAGACCAAAUUAAUUUUUUUUAUCCGAAUUGAUAUACCAAUCAAUUAUCCAAAUUCUAAUAAUGAUUUAGGAGAUUAUGAGUAGUUUAAUACUUAUAUCAAAGAAAUAAUAAUAAAUUUAUUCGUUUUUAUUAAUAAUCUCAUUAUAGGUUAUCAUCUGCACAAUACCUAAAAUUACCCAUAGUCCCUCAACCCAUAAAUAAGAGGAUAAUGCAUUUCAACUUCCUCAGAGUUACGUUCUCCUACAUUGGCAACAAUGUCUAUGCUAGAGGUGUUCAUGGGCCGGGCCGGGUUUGGGUCGGGCCCAUAAAAAAUUUCAGCUCGCAUACUAGGCCCGGGCCCAGCUCGACCCAAAAUACGAGCCUGAAAUUUUGUCCAGGCCCGGCCCGGGAAAAAAUUCUUAGGCCCGAGCCCGGCCUAGCCCGUUUUUAAAAAAUAAACACCAAUUUUUUUAAAAAAAUUUAAAAAAGUAUUUUAAAAAUAUUUUAAAAAAUAAAAAAUAUUUUUUAUUAUAUAUUCAGGCUGGGCCGGGCUGGGCCCGGGCUAAAAAAGUCGUGCCUGAGGCCCAGCCCAUUUUUUAAACGGGCCUCAUUUUUUGCCCAAACCCAUAUUUCGGGCCUAUAUUUUUACCCGAAUCCUCCCAUAUUUCAGACGGGCCGUCGGGCCGGGCCGGGCCACCCGGCCCAUGAACACCUCUAGUCUAUGCCAAUCGAGCUAAGACUCAGAGCCUUUUUGGAUGAGCGAUGCAUUUACCUCUUAUUAAUGUAAAAACAACAAUAUCAAUACAAUUAAAUACUAUAAUAUGAAAUAAAAAGAAAUAUAAACACGCCGUACUAAAAAGUAAAUGUCCAUCCAAAAAGGUCUCAACCUGUAAACUCAUUCGUUUAUUUUUUAAUUAUGACAUAGGGAAACCAAAUCUAAAAAAAAAAUCAAAAUUUAAUACAUAAUUUAUGACAAAAGUAAAAAAGAAUGUAUAAAAAUUUGUGAGGGGUGCAUGUGAGGGCUAGGGGUGAUCUGUUUCUCUUUCUAUUUCAGAGUCACUGUCAAAAAAGAGCAGAAAACAUUAAAGGGAGGCACACGUGCAUGUCUGACACAUCCCAUUCGUGUGAAAUUUCAGACAUUGGAAAGUGUACAAAUUUCAAUUUAACUUUAUUCUUUUCUAUUUUUUAUAAUAUACUUUUUUCCUCAGUACCACACGUGUGGGAUCAGACCUCGUGUUUCGUGAGGCUGACUUGUGACAGAGUUGACUCACUUUGACCUAACUCUCUCUGUUUCACUAUUUUUGAAUAAUGUUAAAAGUUGGAUUUUUUAUUAUUGAAUAUUGUUUUAUUUGAUUCAGAAUAAAAUAAUAAAUUUAUAUGAUUUAUAUAUAUUAACUCAAGUUUUAGCUUGAAUUUUUUUAAAUAAAUAUUUUUUUAUUAUAAAAAUUAUAAAAUGAUCAUCUAACUAUUUAAGUUUAUUUUAUUGUCAUUAGCUGGUUAACAUAAAAAUGGUAACAUCCAAUAUAAUUUAGUGGCUAAAAAAGAAAUUUAUUGAUAGUUGGAUGAUUAUUUUGUAAUUUUUCAUAGUCGUGUAAUAAAAAAACAAGUUAUAAUUGAAUGACAACUAAUGUAGUUUAUCCUUCAUAGAUAAAAAUAUUGACUAGACUCAUAAGCAUCUUGAAUUAGGCGACUAUAGGAGUCCUAGCCCCUUAGAAUGGAAAAAAGUUUCUCUAUAAACCUUCUUUAGUCUAUAAAAAUAUACGUUAAUACAUAGUAAAAUUAUAGUUUAACCCUCUUAAAAUGAUAAAAUUUUGAUUUAGUCUUACUAAAAGCUAUUACAAUAUAAGCUAAUAAUGGUAAAACUGUAUUUUAACUCUUAUAAAAAUAUAUAAUUUAAUUUCGAUUCCUCCAGAAAAUAUCUCUAGCUUGGCUCCUGUUGAGUAUUAAGAUAUUUAAAUAAUAAUAUAAUUAAAAUUUGAUAUUAAUAUAAUAUAAGAUAAUAAUAAUAUUUUAAAAAAUAUAAAAAUAUAAGUUACUUAUAUGUAUUAAAAUUAUGGGUUAAUAUUUAGUAGAUUGGCAGUGUACUUUUUUUUAUUUUACAAGCAACCUUAAAAAAUUGUCAUAUGUUUUUAAAAAUAUUUUAUUAUACCUCUAUAGGUCAUUUGUCAACUCUCUAAUCUUACUUGUGGAGUUUAUAAUAUACCAAAAGGGUUUUUGGUAAACAGAAUUUUGAGCUCUUUUAGCUGACUUGGGCACAAAUGCAGGAUUGGGUAGUCAAACCCUUUAAUUGCAGUAUUUGGUGAAUGGAAGUUUAUAAAAGAUAGUUAAGUUAAAACUUCCAAAACAAAAUACACAUGGAUAGACAACUUUUUUUCACAGUUAAUUGAAAAUGAGAUAUAUAGAAUGACAUAUCUCACCAUACUUACUCAAAAAUGAUUCCCUUUUCUACAUUCUCUCAAACCUAAUAGGAGUGCCACUAUAUCAGUAGUCCCCAUUCUAAAAAAUAUUCACUAAUUAAUCAAUGUACUCUUAAUUUAUUUUUAAUUUACUUGUGUAAAAUGAUUUUUUAUGCAACUUAAGAAAUUUGCAAAUAAGGAACUUAAUAAAUUUGUUUAUUUAAAUUUUCAAAAAUAUUCACUAAUUAAUUUCCAUAAUGGAUGUUUUAAUUCAUUGGUAAUAGUAUUUUAUUUCAAUAAUUUCAUCCAAUAAAGACUAAAGUAUUAUAAACAAAUAAAUACUUAACAAUAAAACGUGUCAUGCCCUUAUUUGUCAUUUUACACAUAUUAGUUUUCAGUUAAAUUUUACCAAACACUUUUAAAUAAACAGUUAAUAGAAUCAAUUGAUCAAAUCAGUCACUGCAAUCAACAAUAAGCUAUCAACCAUUUGUCAAAAUAAAACCGAAAUAUUUUUCUAAAAUUAUUCCCUACCGGAAAAAAUAAAAGUAAUGUUAUUAUUAUAUAAAAUUUCUCAAAUAUUAUUGAUAAUUUAUUUAUUUUUACUCUACAAAGGUUGAACUCCUUUGAACAAUACAUGAAAUCUCAUCAAUCACUGUCUUCUAUUUUCUGCAACGUUUAGAUUUUUGCUUUAUAGUUUAUUAUUAUUUUUAUCUUUUUUAUAUAUUAAUUUUUUUAAUCUAUGUUGUAAAAAUUUUCAAAAUCUUUUGGCAUGUAUAAAAUCUUUUCAAACUUAAUUUGAAUGAGAGUCGGUUGAAUCUAAAUGAUUAAAAAUGUUAAUUUUAAGGAAAAAUAUUUGGUCCAAACUUAGAGCAAUGAUAAUUUAUUAUAAAAUAUAGUAAAAUAUUAAAAAAAAUAAGGUUAUAAAACAUAUGAGACACGCAAUUGUUUCUUAAGUCUACUUGUGAAAUUAAAAAAGUACAUUAUUAAACGAUUGAGUUUUAACUUGAUUGGCAUGGGCGUUGUUACCAAUGCAGAAGGAUGUGAGUUUGAGUGCGCUGAAACGUAUUAUCCUCUUAUUUAUGGGUUGGGGAGGCGCCACGGAUAAUUCUAGAUAUUAUGUCAUAAAGAGCAGAAUCUAUAAUAAAAUUUUAGAAUAUUCUCAUGCCAAUCGAACUAAUAUUCAAUCGGCCAAGUUUAAUUACUAUUUUUUUUUCUCUUAAACUCUCCCAUUCAUAAACACCAUUUCUUGAAAUAAAGGAGAAAAUUGUCCUGGUAAAAAUAUGUCCUCGAUACUUGUGCUUAAAUAAAAUUUUAAUUUUAAUUUAUAUACUUAAAAAAUUAAAAAUUAAAUUACGUUACAUUUUUAUUUAAAAAUCUUAUUUUAAUAACUUACACAAUUAACCAAAAUUUGCUAUCAAUACACUAGUCAAUCAGACCAACUUCAAAAGCAAAUUAUUACGAAUUCGGUAAGCAUAUAUGAUAGUAAGCAAUCUUAAUUAAAAAAUAUUAACAGUGUCAACGAUUAGAAUAUAAUUUUUAAUUUGAAAAAGUAAUAUAAAUUUAUUUUUAAAAUUUUUUUAAGUAUAAGGACAAAUCCCAAAGUUUACUAAAAUACAAGGAGUGAAAACAAAUUUUGACCAACUAUUUUUCAUCCUAUGAAUUUCAUCCCUUACUAAGAUAAUGUAAGACUAAUGAAGUUUUAACUAUCAAAAAUCAAUUGUUGUGUCAAUUGAAGAGGAAAAUGAUAAGGACAAUGGAUAAGAUGAUGGACAAAUUAUUCUCAACUAAUUAAUUAUUGACACAUUUUGGACAAAUAGUUGGGUACCUAUCAACUUUACCAAUUUGCAGGACAAAGGCAGAAGAAUGUCCUCAAUAAUUUUAUACCCUUCACCAUCCAACUUUUUGGGCUAGUUGGUUGAAAGAUUUGGCUAUGCUUCAUGGCUAAAUAAAUUUUCAUUUUUAAUGUUUAGCUAAUUUCAAGAUAGGAAAAUUGACACUAAAAAAUUGACAUUAAAAAAUUGACCUUUCUUAAGUUCAAACCAUCCCCCCCACCAUCCAAGAAAAAGAAGAAAAGAAAAGUACUACAAGAAGAUAAGAAAAAACAAUUUUUUCAUAUCCGUUUUAUAGCUUAUGUUGGAGUUUGUGGUUGUCAUUUCUAAUAAUGUUGUCUCUAAAGUUUGAACUUAAAUUAUCUCUUUAAGAGUGUAAUGUGCCUUACUAUUGCACCCAAUACUUGUUGGUGAUUUUGUUGUUUGGUUGACGAAAUGUAAGGUUACCUAAAAGUAUACAUUUUACAAAAUUUUACAAUAUAGAAUUUAUUUCUUUUAUUUUACUAAUAAAUUAAUGUAUUUCUCUAGUAAAUUAAUUUUAAUUUUUUUUAAAUAGAUAAAUUAGAAUUAGGGAAGAAUAAUAAGCAAUUAACCUUCUUUUUAAUCAUAGCUAAAUGGAAAAGAAAGAAGAAAAUUAUUAAAACAUUAAAUGUAAUAUAGCAGAUUACAUGUUAAACCUUCACUAUUUGUAAAAUAAAUAAAUAUAGUUGAAAUGUUACUUGAAGAAUAUAUCGAAGAACUAGAGAAUUUGAUUCAUUAAUAUUAUUAUAAUUUCGUUUUGGUUUAAUUAAAAUGAAUAGAAGUCGUUAAAAAAUAGGGUUCAAUUGUAAAAAAAAAAAUUAGAAUACCAAUGGAACGUAAGAUUACUUAAAGAGAGGUGAGAUAGACACUUUCUAUGCCUGCAAACCUAAAUGUAGGUUAUGUUCAAGUAAUAAAAUCUUCAAAAUCCGAGGUUGAUUGAUAGGGAAAUUGAUUAAAAUUUACAAAUAUUAUGAUAAAACAAAUAUUUAACAUUAAAUUUGGAAUGAGUGUAGAGAUAUCGAAAAUGAAGGUGGGAGACAGAAAUGCCAGAAAUAAAAAUAAAUGCCUGGAAUAAAAUAAAUUGAGGUUAGAGGAUGCACUCCUGGUGUCUUACUAAGUUUAAAGUUUAAUACUCACUUUUAUUACUCAAUUAGAAUCGACAUACAAAGAGGGUUCCAAUCGGAUAAUCUAGUAAUUUAAGUCCAAUAAUUAAAUAUGUGAAUCCUAAGCAAAUGUAUAUCCAUCAAAGGAGUGUCAAGUAUGAUUGUCAAACAAUUCAAGUCCAAAAGUUAAGCAGAUGAAUCCAUAAGCAAAAGAUGAUGUAGUAUAAAUGCUCAACCAUUUAAGUUUAGUCCAAAAAUAUAACAUAUGGUAUUAUAAAUAACUUGAAAACUUCAAAGCUUUUAGAAAAGAUUCAUAUAUUUAUUAUGUCAAAUUUUAUAUGUUUAUAAUAAAUCAAUGUUAAUUUAUCCAGACAUUCAUUGUGUCAUUCAUUGUCUAUAAUAAAUCAAGACUUCUAUUUUACAAGUAUGAUUAUAACAAGUGACUAAUAAUUCAUUUUAGCUCAAAUGAUGAGUAUAGAAUUUACCUUAGUAUUUGCCAGGAGUUUCACUCUUUCACCCCAGCAUGAAAAACUUAGAAGAGCAUAACGCACUUAAAUAACUCAAACUUAGAGAAAGAAAGACAUAUUAGAAAUAAGAAACUUAGGGUUUUACAAGGAUAGUGAAGAACAAUGAAAAACAAAAUAAACACAAACAAGAAAAUGAUCUUAACC
rnacentral:lncRNA from 1 species